rnacentral:misc_RNA from 1 species
GUGAAUCAUCGAAUUUUUGAACGCAAAUUGCACUCUCCGGUUUUCCGGGAGAGUAUGCCUGUUUGAGGGUCUUUUUUAAAAAUAAUCGAUGCUUCUGCUGUGGUGGCGCUUUGUAAUUGGGUCAUCUUCCACCUUUCGGGGUUGUAAGCGACCUAAAAUUCUUCUUACGUUUUCUACGAACGUGUCUAAUUAUAUGUAGUACGUUCGCUACAUCGACAUCAUAUUAGGGUC